CGCCAAAAACUGGAAUAGACAGCGCACCUUAGAGGACGCUUUAUUACAAAAGCGCACUCUAAAGUGAAGCGAAAAAAUAAGGAGCGAACAACUGGAAUAGACAACGCACUUUAGAGGGAACUUUUGUAAUAAAGCGCCCUCUAAGGUGAAGCGAAAAAAUAAGGAGGAGAUAGAGGGACAACAAUACAUGGCGCUUUUUAGAAAGCG
rnacentral:lncRNA from 1 species